rnacentral:rRNA from 1 species
GAAACGACUGCUAAGACUGGAUAGGAAAUAAAAAGGCAUCUUUUUAUUUUUAAAAGACCUUUUUCGGAAGGUAUGCUUAAAGAGGGGCUUGCGUCACAUUAGUUAGUUGGCAGGGUAAAAGCCUACCAAGACUAUGAUGUGUAGCUGGACUGAGAGGUUGAACAGCCACAUUGGGACUGAAACACGGCCCAAACUCCUACGGGAGGCAGCAGUAGGGAAUUUUCGGCAAUGGAGGAAACUCUGACCGAGCAACGCCGCGUGAACGAUGAAGUAUCUCGGUAUGUAAAGUUCUUUUAUUGAAGAAGAAAAAAUAGUGGAAAAACUAUCUUGACGAUAUUCAAUGAAUAAGCCCCGGCAAACUAUGUGCCAGCAGCCGCGGUAAUACAUAGGGGGCGAGCGUUAUCCGGAAUUAUUGGGCGUAAAGGGUGCGUAGGCGGUUUAAUAAGUCUAUAGUUUAAUUUCAGUGCUUAACACUGUCCUGCUAUAGAAACUAUUAGACUAGAGUGAGAUAGAGGCAAGUGGAAUUCCAUGUGUAGCGGUAAAAUGCGUAAAUAUAUGGAGGAACACCAGAGGCGUAGGCGGCUUGCUGGGCCUUUACUGACGCUGAGGCACGAAAGCGUGGGGAGCAAACAGGAUUAGAUACCCUGGUAGUCCACGCCGUAAACGAUGAGUACUAAGUGUCGGGAUUACUCGGUACUGAAGUUAACACAUUAAGUACUCCGCCUGAGUAGUACGUACGCAAGUAUGAAACUUAAAGGAAUUGACGGGACUCCGCACAAGCGGUGGAUCAUGUUGUUUAAUUCGAAGAUACACGAAAAACCUUACCAGGUCUUGACAUACUCUGCAAAGCUAUAGCAAUAUAGUGGAGGUUAUCAGGGAUACAGGUGGUGCAUGGUUGUCGUCAGCUCGUGUCGUGAGAUGUUAGGUUAAGUCCUAAAACGAGCGCAACCCUUGUCAUUAGUUGCCAGCAUGUCAUGAUGGGCACUUUAAUGAGACUGCCAAUGAAAAAUUGGAGGAAGGUGAGGAUCACGUCAAAUCAUCAUGCCCCUUAUGAUCUGGGCUACAAACGUGAUACAAUGGCUGUUACAAAGAGUAGCUGAAACGUAAGUUUAUAGCCAAUCUCAUAAAAGCAGUCUCAGUUCGGAUUGAAGUCUGCAACUCGACUUCAUGAAGUUGGAAUCGCUAGUAAUCGCGAAUCAGCAUGUCGCGGUGAAUACGUUCUCGGGGUUUGUACACACCGCUCGUCA